UACAGGGGGUGCAAACGUUGCUCGGAAUUAUUGGGCGUAAAGGGCGCGUAGGCGGCUUCAUAAGUCAAAGGUGAAAUCCCUCGGCUCAACUGAGGAACUGCCUUUGAAACUGUGGAGCUUGAGGCCGGGAGGGGGUAGCGGAAUUCCCAGUGUAGCGGUGAAAUGCGUAGAUAUUGGGAGGAACACCAGUGGCGAAGGCGGCUACCUGGACCGGAACUGACGCUGAUGCGCGAAAGCGUGGGUAGCAAACAGG
rnacentral:rRNA from 1 species